rnacentral:rRNA from 1 species
GACGAACGCUGGCGGCGUGCCUAAUACAUGCAAGUCGAACGCAGUGGGGACGGGUGAGUAACACGUGGGUAACCUCCCAUCAGAGGGGAUAACACUUGGAAACAGGUGCUAAACCGAUACUGAUGGAUGGACCCGCGGUGCAUUAGCUAGUUGGUGAGGUAACGGCUCACCAAGGCCACGAUGCAUAGCCGACGUAGCGUGUGAUUCGUCCCCCCUGGGACUGAGACACGGCCCACACUCCUCCCUCCUUCUCCCUUCUCUCCUCUUCCAACCUUUACGAAAGUCUGACCUAGCAACGCCGCGUGAGUGAAUACUUUUUUCAGAUCUUCACACUCUGUUGUUAGAGAAGCGGUAUCUAACCAGAAAGCCACGGCUAACUACGUGCCAGCAGCCGCGGUAAUUC